CUGGCUUUCCCAUCUUUUUCUUGAUCUUUUUGAACAUCUUUUUUUCUGUAUAUUUGUGGUGAUUUGAGAAAAAUAUGUCCGCUCUGAGAUGAUUGGCCGCUUUCA
rnacentral:ribozyme from 12 species